UGAGGAAUAUUGGACAAUGGGUGAGAGCCUGAUCCAGCCAUCCCGCGUGAAGGAUGACGGUCCUAUGGAUUGUAAACUUCUUUUGUACAGGGAUAAACCUACUCUCGUGAGGGUAGCUGAAGGUACUGUACGAAUAAGCACCGGCUAACUCCGUGCCAGCAGCCGCGGUAAUACGGAGGGUGCAAGCGUUAUCCGGAUUUAUUGGGUUUAAAGGGUCCGUAGGCGGACUUGUAAGUCAGUGGUGAAAUCUCAUAGCUUAACUAUGAAACUGCCAUUGAUACUGCAGGUCUUGAGUAAAUUUGAAGUGGCUGGAAUAAGUAGUGUAGCGGUGAAAUGCAUAGAUAUUACUUAGAACACCAAUUGCGAAGGCAGGUCACUAAGAUUUAACUGACGCUGAUGGACGAAAGCGUGGGGAGCAAACA
rnacentral:rRNA from 1 species